GACGAACGCUGGCGGCGUGCUUAACACAUGCAAGUCGAGCGGUAAGGCCCUUUCGGGGGUACACGAGCGGCGAACGGGUGAGUAACACGUGGGUGACCUGCCCUCAGCUCUGGGAUAAGCCUGGGAAACCGGGUCUAAUACUGGAUAUGACUCCAUGACGCAUGUUGUGGGGUGGAAAGCCUUGUGCGGCUGAGGAUGGGCCCGCGGCCUAUCAGCUUGUUGGUGAGGUGAUGGCCUACCAAGGCGACGACGGGUAGCCGGCCUGAGAGGGCGACCGGCCACACUGGGACUGAGACACGGCCCAGACUCCUACGGGAGGCAGCAGUGGGGAAUCUUGCGCAAUGGGCGAAAGCCUGACGCAGCGACGCCGCGUGAGGGAUGACGGCCU
rnacentral:rRNA from 1 species